UUACAUGAUUGGUUACAGUCUGGACGGCUCUGUCUGGUUCGUUUAUAAGGAAAAUGGUGCUGUCAAGGAAUUCCCUGGCAACACUGAUCAUUCAAGCAUUGUUUACAACCGACUGUCCCCUCCACUAGCAACAAGGCUCAUCAGGUUUUUUCCGAAAGGAUGGAAUGUCAAUAUCUCACUCCGAGUUGAGAUUUACGGCUGCUAGAAAAAUAAUGCAUGCACUUUCGUAGCGCUUGUUGAGGUUCGUCACGUAACAACCUUCUAUAAACACCAAGAAAAGAUAUCCACAAAGCUACGGGAAAUUAAAAAAAAAAAACA